rnacentral:rRNA from 1 species
UACGUAGGAGGCGAGCGUUGUCCGGAGUGACUGGGCGUAAAGGGUGCGCAGGCGGCCGCCCGCGUCCGCGGUGAAAUCUCCCGGCUCAACCGGGAGGGGGCCGGGGAGACGGGGCGGCUGGAGCGACGGAGAGGGUGGCGGAAUUCCGGGUGGAGCGGUGAAAUGCGUAGAGAUCCGGAGGAACACCAAAGGCGAAGGCAGUGUCCUGGGGAGUACCUGACGCUCAGGUGCGAAAGCCAGGGGAGCGAACGGG